rnacentral:piRNA from 1 species
UAGGAAAAUGAUGGAGUGAGCCACC